UACGUAGGGACCAAGCGUUGUUCGGAUUUACUGGGCGUAAAGGGCGCGUAGGCGGCGUGACAAGUCACUUGUGAAAUCUCUGAGCUUAACUCAGAACGGCCAAGUGAAACUGUUGUGCUAGAGUGCAGAAGGGGCAAUCGGAAUUCUUGGUGUAGCGGUGAAAUGCGUAGAUAUCAAGAGGAACACCUGAGGUGAAGACGGGGUUGCUGGGCUGACACUGACGGCUGAGGCGCGGAAAGCCAGGGGAGCAAACGGG
rnacentral:rRNA from 1 species